UACGUAGGGCGCAAGCGUUGUCCGGAAUUAUUGGGCGUAAAGAGCUCGUAGGCGGUUUGUUAAGUGCAGGGUGAAAGCUCCCGGCUCAACUGGGAGAGGUCCUUGCAUACUGGCGAACUCGAGGGAGGCAGAGGAAAGUGGAAUUCCCGGUGUAGUGGUGAUAUGCGUAGAUAUCGGGAGGAACACCUGUGGCGAAGGCGGCUUUCUGGGCCUUACCUGACGCUGAGACGCGAAAGCGUGGGGAGCGAACCGG
rnacentral:rRNA from 1 species